AUGAAGCUCCUAUGUUGGAACAUUAGGGGCUUCGGCCUCACUGGCCGGUGGAGACAACUCAUCGAGUAUUUGCGACAAGAGGAGAUUGACAUCGUGGGCCUUCAGGACACGAUACGCCAGGACUUUAGUAUGCUUGAGCUCCAGGGGCUCUCUCGCCACCAGUUUGCCUGGCAGUAG
rnacentral:rRNA from 1 species